AUUGAACGCUGGCGGCAUGCCUUACACAUGCAAGUCGAACGGUAACGCGGGGCAACCUGGCGACGAGUGGCGAACGGGUGAGUAAAGCAUCGGAACGUGCCCAGUAGUGGGGGAUAGCCCGGCGAAAGCCGGAUUAAUACCGCAUACGACCUAUGGGUGAAAGGGGGGGAUUGCAAGACCUCUCGCUAUUGGAGCGGCCGAUGUCAGAUUAGGUAGUUGGUGGGGUAAAGGCCUACCAAGCCGACGAUCUGUAGCUGGUCUGAGAGGACGACCAGCACCACCGGGACUGCGACACGGCCCAGACUCCUACGGGAGGCAGCAGUGGGAAUUUUGGACAAGGGGCGCAAGCCUGAUCCAGCCAUGCCGCGUGCGGGAAGAAGGCCUUCGGGUUGUAAACCGCUUUUGUCAGGGAAGAAAUCCUUUGGGUUAAUACCUCGGGGGGAUGACGGUACCUGAAGAAUAAGCACCGGCUAACUACGUGCCAGCAGCCGCGGUAA
rnacentral:rRNA from 1 species